rnacentral:rRNA from 1 species
GACGAACGCUGGCGGCGUGCUUAACACAUGCAAGUCGAGCGAUGAAGCUCCUUCGGGAGUGGAUUAGCGGCGGACGGGUGAGUAACACGUGGGUAACCUGCCUCAUAGAGGGGAAUAGCCUUCCGAAAGGAAGAUUAAUACCGCAUAAGAUUGUAGUACCGCAUGGUACAGCAAUUAAAGGAGCAAUCCGCUAUGAGAUGGACCCGCGUCGCAUUAGCUAGUUGGUGAGGUAACGGCUCACCAAGGCGACGAUGCGUAGCCGACCUGAGAGGGUGAUCGGCCACAUUGGGACUGAGACACGGCCCAGGCUCCUACGGGAGGCAGCAGUGGGGAAUAUUGCACAAUGGGGUAAACCCUGAUGCAGCAACGCCGCGUGAGUGAUGACGGUCUUCGGAUUGUAAAGCUCUGUCUUCAGGGACGAUAAUGACGGUACCUGAGGAGGAAGCCACGGCUAACUACGUGCCAGCCGCCGCCGUAA